rnacentral:rRNA from 1 species
CCUACGGGUGGCAGCAGUCGAGAAUCAUUCACAAUGGGGGAAACCCUGAUGGUGCGACGCCGCGUGGGGGAAUGAAGGUCUUCGGAUUGUAAACCCCUGUCAUGUGGGAGCAAAUUAAAAAGAUAGUACCACAAGAGGAAGAGACGGCUAACUCUGUGCCAGCAGCCGCGGUAAUACAGAGGUCUCAAGCGUUGUUCGGAAUCACUGGGCGUAAAGCGUGCGUAGGCUGUUUCGUAAGUCGUGUGUGAAAGGCGCGGGCUCAACCCGCGGACGGCACAUGAUACUGCGAGACUAGAGUAAUGGAGGGGGAACCGGAAUUCUCGGUGUAGCAGUGAAAGGCGUAGAUAUCGAGAGGAACACUCGUGGCGAAGGCGGGUUCCUGGGCAUUAACUGACGCUGAGGCACGAAGGCCAGGGGAGCGAAAGGGAUUAGAUACCCUAGUAGUC